GGGAAGCAAGAUAGUGAUAUGGAGCAAAACCCUAAAAGCGGUCUCAGUUCGGAUUGAAGGCUGAAAUUCGCCUUCAUGAAGCUGGAAUUGCUAGUAAUGGCAGGUCAGCAUACUGCCGUGAAUACGUUCCCGGGUCUUGUACACACCGCCCGUCACACCAUGGGAGUCAGCAACGCCCGAAGUCAGUGACCUAACCGAGAGGAAGGAGCUGCCGAAGGCGGGGCAGGUAACUGGGGUGAAGUCGUAACAAGGUAAC
rnacentral:rRNA from 1 species